UGAUAUUUACUUUUAAAUAACUUGGGGCAAUUAAUUGGCUAUUUACAACAUUUAAUGGUUGCAAGGAUGCGUAAAAUGACAAAAAGGCAAGGGAGAGAAAAGAGCAACUAAACUAAAUUCAGGGCUAAAAAUGUAAAACAACAUUCUAACCCUAAUCUUCCGUAUAAAUAUCCCUCUUAAUCCGAAACUUAGCACUCUCUACAAUCCUAGUCGCUCUCUCUCCUGUUCAUCUCCUCUCAAAUCUCUUCCACUCUCCUCCUUAUCUCAUAGCGACAUCACCGCCACACUUCCUUUCUCCUCUGUUCAGCGGCGAUAGGGUCGCGGCCGUUGCCUCUCCUUUCCUUUCUUUCUCCCAAAUCUCCUACAAUCUGCGAUGGAGGCACCGCUGUCGCCGUCGCCUCCUUCCUCUUUUCCUUCUCUGUCUCGUCUCAACAGUGACGACACCACCACCGUCUCCUUCCUUUUCCUCCCUCUUUUCUUCGUUUCAACAGCGGCAGCGUUGCUUCGCCUCCUUCCUUUCUUCUCUCUUCACCUCACCUCAAUAGCAGCAACUGCGACGAAAGCACUGCCGCCUCAUUUUUCGUCUCCUCUCGCCAACAGCAGCGGCGAAAACAGAGCUAAUCGUCCGUCUCCACCUCUAAUCCUCUCUUCUCUUAUUUUAAGCG
rnacentral:lncRNA from 1 species